rnacentral:rRNA from 1 species
UACAGAGGGUGCGAGCGUUGUUCGGAAUUAUUGGGCGUAAAGGGCGCGUAGGCGGUGCGGUAAGUCACCUGUGAAAUCUCCUGGCUCAACUGGGAGCUUGCAGGCGAAACUGCCGUGCUGGAGUGUGGGAGAGGUGAGUGGAAUUCCCGGUGUAGCGGUGAAAUGCGUAGAUAUCAGGAAGAACACCCGUGGCUAAGGCGGCUCUCUAGUACGGUACUGACGCUGAGACGCGAAAGCGUGGGGAGCGAACAGG